rnacentral:lncRNA from 1 species
GCUUCAAGUGAUUGAGAUGGAUAACUGGAACACCGAUUUGGUGGAGUCGGCCAGACAGAUCAAGAUGAUCAAGAGAGCUGCGGGAACGACGCCGUUCACCUUCGUUUCGUUUAACGGAACGUUAUUACCCAAAUUUGGUUAAAGCUUGACUCACAAUAUUUUUAGAGGAAGGAGGAGGAGUAUGAUUAUUGGUGACUGGACUGAGAAUUUUGAAAUUAACAACUCGAAAGUUUUGUAAUUGAGAGUAGAAUAUUGUAAAUGGUAGUGUUUGUUAUAAAAUUAGUUAAGAGAUUUUUAUUACCAUAACAAAUAAUCUUGUUUGUUCUGAAAAUACUCGAAUACUGAAUAACCAUG